rnacentral:rRNA from 1 species
CGUACCCCAAACCGACACAGGUGGACUGGUAGAGCAUACCAAGGCGCUUGAGAGAACUCUGUUGAAGGAACUCGGCAAAUUACUCCCGUAAGUUCGCGAGAAGGGAGCCUGGCAUCAGGCAACUGGUGUCCAGGGGCACAGACCAGGGGGUGGCGACUGUUUAUUAAAAACACAGGGCUCUGCGAAGUCGCAAGACGACGUAUAGGGUCUGACGCCUGCCCGGUGCCGGAAGG